ensembl:lncRNA
CGGCUGCAGUUUACUCCCGGGGAUGUCUCUAGCAGGAGCCCCGAAACCUCGCUCCCGCCAGCCUGCCCCGCCCCCUGCGCCGCGUCGAGGAGCGCUCACCCCGGCUUCACUCCUGCUCUCGGGGUUCACCUGCCUCCUCUGGAGUCCUCUGCGUCCCGCGACUCCUCUCAAUUUUGCGACCUCCUCUCCUCAAGGUGCCUCUUUACAGCUCUAGACUUUGCUCCACGCGCGUCCGCAGAAGCCAUUUCAAAAUGAAAGAAGACUGUUUUCACCUGGACCCAACAAAUGUUCAGGAAGCCUGUUCCAGCUGCUGGAGACGAAGGAAAGUGAAGGUACUAAUGGCAUACCCAUGCCGUCUCCAAGGUGAGAGACAGAGAAAAUGCAAAAGAGAAAAUUCAGAGGUAAGCAGUCCUACUUUCUUGAAUAGCUGUAUGCCCAGAAUAACUGCAGCUAAACAUGCCUUCUGUAAAAAUAACAGGUGCUAUCACCUGGUGAACACAUGGUAGGUGCUGGGAAGGGUGGUUGUAAUUCAUGCCUCUGCCGUUGACCCAUCUCAAAAGAAACAAGCGGCUCCACAGGACGUUUUUCACCACCCUGCACUUAAGGGAUCACCAAGUUCAGGGUCGGGGUCUGCGUCUGAACAUUGUAGGUCCAGAAACUUGAGUUUGUUCACGUUCCCAGAAGUGAUUGGGCUAAAGAAACCAGCCAAAGACAAGAAGGCCGAUUUUACUGGUGGAUGUAAGUGCUACCAUUUUGGGGUCCUUGGACUCUUUAAUGGAUAAAAUUGCUAAGAGGCUAGAUGCGGAGUUCAGGCAAGGCUUUAUCGGGGCUGCUGCUGCAGAGGAGGGAGAGAAACAGGCUCUCCCUCAUUUGCUCUCCCGGAGCUGGUCCCUUAAACAGGGUGAAGGUGGGGACGGAAGGGUGGCUUAGGUGGUCUGCCCACCAGCGCGGUAGUGCUGCACACAGGGAUCAUGAGCAGGACCCUGCUUCACUCCCUGCACUUUAGAAAUGGCCGCUGAUUUGCACUCUUUUGUAUCUAAUUGCCCUCACUGCACAUGCAUAGAGGUGCAGUUAUUUUUAGUUCCUUCCAGUUUUUCUUUACAUUCUGUCCAUGUGAAUGUACUCCAGCACAGGGUCCUAGCCCCAGGUCCCAGUCUCAAGUGCUGAAAAGAUGCGUGUCUUGGGGUCAGCACCAUCCCACCACCAUAGUCUACCCUGGAAGGCAAAUGAUGGUAAAAGACCACCGAGUGACUGGGACCUCAGACUGGGAGAGCUGCCUCCUCUUAAUGGGCAGUGUGGACAAGUGACAAGUGUGUGAUACCCUGGCCCUCACAGAGGGAUGCUCCAGCCGGGAGGCCCAAAGCCUGGGUCACCUGGAUGGGAUACUGCUCACUGAGGUCCAGUUUCCGUUUGCAUUCUGAUCCUUGAGACGUGCCCUGGUCACCUUUAAAAAACUUCUUUACAAACCGUCUCCUGGGGAGGGCGCUCCUGCAGAUUGUGAAGCCUUAGGCAGGAGCCCUUGGCUCUUAAGGCCUUUUCUGAAUGUUGAAAUACGACCUGUCUUCAAGGAUUCAACUCUCAGGAAAUCUCUUCCAUGAAACGUUUAUCCAUUUUCUGGGAGGAUCUUAAAUAUAGUUAUUUACAAGUCCUUUCGAAUGUUGUUCUCUUAUUUGUACUUAAUUACUGGGAAAUUCAUCUUCCAGUUUUGGCUUGUCCACCGUUCUGCUCAGUGUUCGGCAUCCUCCAAAGUCUUUGGGUGAAAUCUGUUCUCACCUCUCCCUCUCUCCACCGCCCUCCCUCUUUUACCUCCUCCUGGGCCUCACCUUCUGGUCCAGAUUCCAUCUCUUUGGCAGCCUGGGCCUUCCAUCCUGCAGGGAUAUGAGGGAAGUGCGGGCACAGUCACCAAAGCAGUGAGCCACUUGGCCCGGGUCCCAUACUUUCCUCCUUCUGGCUGCACCUCAAGGAUGCAGCAAAAGUAUUUUUCCAGCUGGUUUGGGGCUAAGAGAGCGCCCAGCCUAUUUUUAGAUACUGGCUGUGGCUCCAGACCCCCAUCAUACAUGAGAUGUUUCUUUUUUGACAGAAAUGUGGCUGCCAUUCAUCUCUGAUAUUUGGGACCCAGAAACUCCAGGGUUCAGCCCCAGCAUCUCACUGUGUACUUGUGUGUUUCCAGAGCAUGGAAAUGACUGCCUUAUCACGUUAAUUUGUUUCAGUGGCUUCAUUUGGACCAGGAUGGGUCCUUCAAAAAUGAACUCAGUGAUUUUCCAAGGUCCCAUUUCUCAUUGGACUUUACUUCCCUCUCAGCACCUUGCACAGUUCUUUGCACAGAAGAAGUGCUCAAAAAACAUUGCUGGAAUUAAAAUCACUUCAUCAUGUGCAAGGGGAGGCCAAGUGAACGCUCAUCACGAAAGUCAUUCAAUACAAGCUUGACCACGAUGAGUGUUGGGCCUUCUGCGUUGAGGAUCCCAAGAUUCAUCCCUGUUUAUGGGUGUGGAGUGGCUGGGACCAAGGGUAGCCAUGUUAAAACCAUUGCCAGAACAGACCAUUACCAGCUGCUCAAGAAACACUGGAAGGUGACAAGGCUGAUAUGAGAAGAGUUGCCAUGUCUGCAGUUCAACCCUAAGAAGCUAUUUAUUAUUUCUUAUCCGUGUUUCCAUUAUCAUGUCUUUUAAUUUUUCUUUCUCCCUCUGCCUUCACUUAUCAUUGUCACAUUGAAAUAUGUGCAAGUGGGGAAUUCCCAUCAUGGCUCAGUGGUUAACGAAUCCAACUAGGAACCAUGAGGUUGUGGGUUCGAUCCCUGCCCUUGCUCAGUGGGUUAAGGAUCCAGUGUUGCCAUGAGCUGUGGUGUAGGUUGCAGACGCGGCUUGGAUCCUGCAUUGCUGUGGCUCUGGCAUAGGCCAGUGGCUACAGCUCCAAUUAGACCCCUAGCCUGCGAACCUCCACAUGCCGUGGGAGCGGCCCUAGAAAAGGCAAAAAAGAUUAAAAAAAAAAAAAGAAGAAAAGAAAAAAUAAAUGUGUACAGGUAACCAGCCUCUUUGUCUGGGGUUAUAGGCGUACUCUAAUCACCAUCCCAUUUCCCAAGCUAAAUAUUUUUUUGUAUUUUUUAAAUAUAUUUUUUUAUUUUUAAAUCAACCCUUUUUGUAUAGUCAAUUUACACUGUUGUGUUAAUUUCUGCUGCACAAGCAAAAAGAUUCAGAUUAUAUAUAUACACACACACACACAUAUGCAUGUGUGUUAUCUAGAUCUAUAUCUAUAUAUACACACUUUUUUCUUUUUAUAUUCUUUUCCAUUGUGGUUUAUCGUAGGACAUUGAAUAUGGUUCUCUGCUCGGUGCUGGACAGUAGGACCUUGUCCCAAGCUAAUUUAACUUCCCCUCCUGCCCACCUUUUAUAUCUUUUUCUUUUAGUUUUGUCUCUGUUUAGUGCCCGCUCUUUGGACUCUGGCACAUAGAGUGACCCAGAGAGGCUCUUAAAUAGCUGUCUAGACACACAACUUGAUAACCUCCAUCUUAAAAAAAAAUAAUACCUCUGAAUCUUACAUUGCCCUUCUGAAUCUUAGAUGACCUUACCACGUGUUCCAACUUAGCACAUCAAUCUUAAGACUCGUACUGGCUUUUAUGAUAGAGUUCCAGUCCUGGGGCCAAUCUCGGCCCUCUGCUCUCAUCUUUCCACCACAGGCUUUAAUUUAAGCCUGAAAAUGAACUACCACCAAGAUAAAUGAAUAGCAAACAUGAAUCAAAAGGGGGGACUUUGACUUUGUCACUAACGGUCUUAAUAAUCACACUAAUUUGUCACGUGUACAGGUGCCCAUAGGCAAAGCAUCAUGCAAAGCAUCAUGAUUUGUGUUUCUUGAAUUGCUUCAGUGUCUCCUCAGUGGACAAAUAAGUUCUUACGUUCCACGUAUAUUUUACUACUUACACUAUAUUCCAAGAGUAUUUUCAAAAUUUGAGGCAAUAAUCUUCUUCGUUAGAGGCUUUGGUCAACAUUUAUCCAGGUCUUUCUUUUUUAUUGUUGUUACAUUCCAUAGUAAACUAUGAGGAAAAAUUUUAAAUAGCAGAGUAUGCAAAUUAUAGUUGUACAAUACUGACCUUUUUUUUUUUUUGGUCAUACUGUCUAUGCCCCUGUAGUGUUUUUUCUAAGUGUUUCAUUUGGUCUUAAUAUCAUCUCUCACCCCCUGAAUAAUUAGUAUCAUUUAUUAUUUUAUUUUAUUUUAUUUUAUUUUAUUUUUAUUUUUUAGCUGCACCCAAGGCAUAUAGAAGUUCAUGGGCCAGGGGUCGAAGCCAUGCCACAGCAGUGACCUGAGCCACUGCAGUGAUAACACUAGAUCCUUAACCACUAGGCCACAAGGGAACUCCAUUUUUCUUAUUUUAUAAAAAAAAAUGAUUAUCAUUUCUAUGGUUCUCAUUUGUUUUCUAUGUUUUGUUAUUGAUUAGGUUUCACUGUUUUCUGACAAUCUGGCCUUCAGGAUAUCCUACCUUAAAUAACCAGAUAUCUGACAGGAAAACAUUUUAGUGGCAAUUUGUUCAUAGAUCCUUAAAUAAAGAUAUGAUAAAGCAAAAGUUAAUACUCUGUGUUAGUUUCAUGAAGUAUGUCUAGUGUUUGGAAAAUGAUUUCUUAAACUAUGCACUCCUUUCUAAUAAGUAUAUACAUCCUUUAACUUGUAGAAGAUUUACGGAUUGUAUUUUCUUUGUGAAAUAAGACAUUUAAAUGCAAAAUAAAACAUUAAAUAAUAAACAUUAAAUAAAAUGUUGAAUGCAAAAACACUGUCAUGAGCAAAGCAAGUAUCAGCCUGUCUCCCUCCUGUUAUGACUUAAUGUCUUUGUUCAAAUAUGCUCACUCAGUGUACCUUUGAGCCCCAUUUCACAAAUGGGGCUUAGUCCCACCCCCCGCACACACUGGGAGUGGGCAGCCAUGGGCUGAAAGUAUACAAACCCACGGGCAUCUUCCUGGAACAUCAAUUUGGCUCUAGAUUUGGAGGGAGAGAGAACUAAACUAUUUCACUGAUGAUUAAAAUACGUUAUUUUUAUAUUAAAUUAAGCACGGAUACAUUAUAGAAUAGAGAUCAAAUGUGCCUGGAUUUUUAAGAUAAAUCCAGGUGACUUCCAAAAUAAUUUUCUAAAAAAAUUGUUCACACUGUCUGUAUCCCAGAGAGCUAAUUUUAUUUUCUGAUGUUACUUUUCUGUUAGAAUUUUACCUCCUCCCUAGUUUCAUGCUUGCAUCCAUAUAAAACAAAAGAUUUUGAGCCAGGGAACUAAGCUAGACUGUUUGUAGGUUAUGUGUUCCUUCAACUUGAUGUAUCUUGACCCAGGUGGAAGAUUAAUCUUAGACAUGGCACAGGAUUUUCUACGGAGUCCUACUAAAAGACAGGUAAGUAGCUCUUGGUGCCACGAUUGUUAUAAACUCUUAUAGUUGCUACUGUGUGAAUGGAUGUAACAUUUUAUUGUGCAUAAGCUAUCUUCUUUACAAAAUAAAACAAACAAACAAAUCAACAGCUAUUACCAUUGUAAAAUUUUAACAUAGUCCAGACUGGGUGUAUGGAUUAGGGAGAAAUAUUGUUUCCCAGUUCAUCAUGUGGUCACUUGCCUGGAGGAUGAACCAUGUCAGAAGAGAAAAGGCAGGUAGUUUCUAAUCACAAUACAUGGGCACAGACCUGUCUUUUUAUGCAUAGAAUCAUGUGCUGUCGAUAAAACCCCUGUGGUGUUGUUUUAUUCAUGAAUACAGGUCAACUUAGGCAAUUUUGAAGGAAAGAAUAAGAAUCCAAGGAAGCCACCUCAAUUCAUUUCCCUCCAAAUUCUCUUCUUAUCUUUGCUAAAUAGUGUUGUUUUUAUUUUCCAUGGAGGAAAUCAGGAAAUGGCAUAUUGUGCUCUGGCAAAUUAAUUUCCAUGUGUCAACGUAGUUUUCACAGUGGGCAUUUUUACACUCUGCUUUAUAAAAUUAGUUUCAUUUCAUAUUUUCAUGCAUCAGCCACACAGUUGAUGUUUUUAGAGCCCUGUAGUGAUCUUCUGUUGUAAUAGGACUGAUUUUGGUUGGCCAUCUCCUAUUCCCAGCCAUUUUGGUUUUCCCAGUUAUUAUUUUUUUUUUGUGGUCAUAAGUAGCAUCAAUCUAAAUAUUUGUAAGUAAAUAACUUUUUAAUCUGUAUAUUUCCUUGGAAGAUGUUGCAUAAUGUAGGAUUCUUUGUGUCAAAUCAUGUCUAAUAGUUUCACAGUUCAUAAUGUCUUUUUAUUUUCCCAAACUAAAACAAUUGAAAAUGUGACCAGGAGUUCCCAUUGUGGCUCCACGAUAACAAGCCCAACUAGUGUCCAUGAGGAUGCAGGUUCGAUCCCAGGCCUCACUCAGUGGGUUAAGGAUCCAGCAUUGCUGUGAGCUGCAAUGUCAGUCACAGAUGCAGCUCGGAUCUGGCAUUGCUGUGGCUAUGGCUGUGGCAUAGGCCCACAGCUACAGAUCCAAUUUGACCCGUAGCCUGGGAACUUAUAUAUGUCACAGGUGUGGCCCUAAAAA